GGAGGGAGGGAACCAGGGAUAAAUGAGAUAGUUCCUGCCCUCAAAGGUCUCAGAGUCUAGGCCCUAGAGCAGUGUUUCUCAAAAGUGGCCCUGGAUCAAGAAUUACCAUUAUAAAUGUAGUUUCCAGGCCCUUAUCAAGACCCAAAUUAGAAUUUGGGGGGUUCCCAGAAAUCUAAAUCUCUAUUAAGCUUGCAGGUGAAUCUCAUGUCCACAAUAUUGGAGAACCACUGUUUUUUGGUAAUCAUUGGUUUAAUUUUCUGCCUUUGGCCCCAGGACUGAGCAUGGCUGGCCUUGUCUCUGCUACUUUCUGAUCAUUGGUAGCACUGCCUUGCAGGAUGUCAAAUGUUCUCUGUGCACUAUGCUAUGGAAUAUGGAUAGUCUCCAGUGGCAGAAAAUGAAAGCAUCCUGCCUAUCUCUUGCCAGGCCUCUCUCCCCACUUCAGGGGCUGGCUUCUAUUCUCCUUGAUUCUGGUUCCACAGAGCCCUACCUGUCAAACUCUGAAAAUUAGACCUCACUUUGGAGAUCUGUGUUCCAGUGCCAACUUCAGCCCCCAGGCCCAGGUCCCCCCCAAACCUUUUUACUUUUAUUUUAUUUUUAUUUUUACUUUUAUUUUUUUAAAGAUUUAUUUACUUAUGAUAGACAUAGAGAGAGAGAGAGAGAGGCAGAGACACAGGAGGAGGGAGAAGCAGGCUCCAUGCCGGGAGGCUGACGUGGGACUCGAUCCCCGGACUCCAGGAUCGCGCCCUGGGCCAAAGGCAGGCGCUAAACCGCUGAGCCAUCCAGGGAUCCCCCUUUUUACUUUUUUUUUUUAAUAAGAUCUUUUUUUUUUAAGAUUUAUUUAUUUUUUAUUCAUGAUAGACAUAGAGAGGCAGGCAGAGACACAGGCAGAGGGAGAAGCAGGCUCCAUGCACCGGGAGCCCGACGCAGGACUCGAUCCCGGGACUCCAGGAUUGCGCCCUGGGCCAAAGGCAGGCACUAAACCGCUGAGCCACCCAGGGAUCCCCCGCCUUUUUACUUUUAACUCUAUGAUUACUACAUGAAUACUUUCUUGGGAUCCCUCUGGGAAUCCAUGUGGCAAACCUGGAGGUGUUAAAGAGUGAACAUUCUAUGGGACAAUCAUUGACGAAUGUAGGGUGGGAACCUGUGAAUAAAUGCCCCCCUCUUCUUUCUCCUAGAUGUCCUCUGCGUGUUUUUAGAGGGUACCAGCAGGAUUGAGCCCUAGUUGCAUUCAGUGGUGACGAGCUUGAUAAUGUGCCCCUGUACUGACCUUCCUUCCAACUGGUUGACUUUGCUCUCUGCCUUCACCGCCUAACUCCAAACCUGACUUCUAGAAGACCACCAGUGUAUUGAUGGUUGAUCUGACUGAAAUAGAAUCAAAGAUUGAAUUCCUGCCUCAGUGCCUGACACACAGCAGGCAAUCAAUAAGCAUUUGUUGAAUGGAUGGAUACUACCUUCAGCUAUCUGGAACUUGCUGGCAAAUGGAAGUCAGUGAAUUAAAAAAUAUAUUUUCCUUUUGAUCUUUGAGCAAUUCCUUCUUUUAGAAGGGUCACUCUGGAUGCUAUUUUGAGAAUGGACUAUAGAAAGACAAAGAAGCAAAGAGUCAUUUUGGAGAUUACUGCAGUAAUCCAGGUUCCACCUGUAGGACAUCCCAGGACAUAUCUGAUUUGGGGGCAACUUGUGAUCCUGAUUAAAGAACAUAUUUGAGUCCUCAAGGUCACGCUGACGGUCAAGGCCUGAGCUCCUGCUUUUUUAGAGCAGGACUGAAGAGCGCUGGCUGGACUGCUGGAUUAAAAACCGAGGGGACUGAGACAGGACCGGAAUCGCUGUCCCUGGUGCAUCACAGAAACGGCAGGAGAUCGCACAGCUGCACCGCCCUGGGUGGCAGCUGGGCCGGGAACGCGGGGCGUAGGAUCAAGCUCUCCCCGGCCCAUCGGCAUCUCGGCAUCUCGGGUCGGGCCGGGUCACUGUUGUCACAGAAGUGAACAGGAUGCUCCGAGGCGUGUCACAGCAGACGACCAACCGGCUCCACGCUGGCGUCUAAGUCCGUCCUCGCGGCAGGGCUGGGACGCAGGUUUUACCGGCCCCACUGUGCGAAGCCGCGGGUCAAGCAUCCUGCGCUCGGUACGCCGCAGAGCCGGAGCCGGGGUCCGCGCCCCUCCGCGCCCCUCCGCGCCCACCCAUCGGCCAGCCCUCGCCCGCGGAGGAUUUCGGAGCACGGAGGACGCGCUUUCCGCCAGCCCGAGCCUUUCGGUCCGCGAGUGAAGCAGCAUGGAUGCCGUCAGCCAGGUCCCCAUGGAAGCCGCACUCCCCAAGCACAUCCUGGAUAUCUGGGUCAUUGUCCUCAUCAUCCUGGCCACCAUUGUCAUCAUGACCUCCUUGUUGCUGUGCCCAGCCACCGCGGUCAUUAUCUAUCGCAUGCGGACUCAUCCUGUCCUCAACGGGGCUGUCUGAAAUCAGUGUCCCAAGAGGGGCCGGGGAGAAACAUGGAUAGUAUCUCCUCCCCCAGCCUCUUCCUUCUCAGAAAAGCAGCAGGAGGGGCUUUGGAGUGUGGACUCUGGAGCUUGAUGUGUGAGAGGAGACUGGAGUUCUUGUUUGGAUUUUGCCACCGGCCAGCUGUGUGAGCUGGGUCAAGGGACCUAACUCUGUGGGUUCCAGGUUCCUUAUCUUCUAAAUGGGGAUCAUGGUCCUGCCCUUCCUACCUCAGAGGGUUGUAAGAACCAAUGCCUUGGGUGGAGGUUAAAGCUGUUUGUGGCUAUGAAUGGUAAAGCCACCACAGGGUUAUAAUUGCUGACAAUGGCCUUCAGGGUGGUGAUGAAGACACUGGGGGCAGAGCAGCCUUUGCCAGUGCCCCUCAGGUCGAACCAAGCAAAGACACCCUGUCUGCAUUCCAAGGGGCCAGUAGUGCUUUGGCUCAAAGUCAUUUUCUUUGUGGUGCCACUCCCUCAAGUUACCUAAUUUGGAGGGAACUGAGUGUGGCAGGAGGAGGGAGAUGGGUGGAACUUCCUAGGACCUUCCUGUGCCAGAAUGUCUACCCCUGUAACAGUCUAGAGGACGGCACUGCCAUGUCUUGGCAAGGCCGAAGGACCUGGGGUGAUGGGCUUCUUUCUGCAUUGGAGUCUCCUCACUUUGACACUCAAGCUAUGUGUCACAACACAGGGUGGCUGAGUUCCCCGGAUGGCUUUCAGGAUCUCCAGCCCCCACCAACUUGUGUGUCUCACACUCAAGAAGCUGUGUCCCCUCACCCCAGCACCUGCUCUAACCAGCUACGUGGUGUCAAGUGUACGCCCUUCAUCCCCUCCCACCAGCACUGCAGCCAGUCUAAGCUACAGAUUUUAAGAGAUGUUCCCAGGACUUUUGGAACUCACUCAAGACAGCGAUGGUUAUUUUAGAUGCUA
rnacentral:lncRNA from 1 species